CUACACAUGCAAGUCGAGGGGUAUAGUUCUUCGGAACUAGAGACCGGCGCACGGGUGCGUAACGCGUAUGCAAUCUACCUUUCACAGAGGGAUAGCCCAGAGAAAUUUGGAUUAAUACCUCAUAGUAUUAUAGAGUGGCAUCACUUUAUAAUUAAAGUCACAACGGUGAAAGAUGAGCAUGCGUCCCAUUAGCUAGUUGGUAAGGUAACGGCUUACCAAGGCAACGAUGGGUAGGGGUCCUGAGAGGGAGAUCCCCCACACUGGUACUGAGACACGGACCAGACUCCUACGGGAGGCAGCAGUGAGGAAUAUUGGACAAUGGGCGCAAGCCUGAUCCAGCCAUGCCGCGUGCAGGAUGACGGUCCUAUGGAUUGUAAACUGCUUUUGUACAGGAAGAAACACUCCGACGUGUCGGAGCUUGACGGUACUGUAAGAAUAAGGAUCGGCUAACUCCGUGCCAGCAGCCGCGGUAAUACGGAGGAUCCAAGCGUUAUCCGGAAUCAUUGGGUUUAAAGGGUCCGUAGGCGGUUUAGUAAGUCAGUGGUGAAAGCCCAUCGCUCAACGGUGGAACGGCCAUUGAUACUGCUAAACUUGAAUUAUUAGGAAGUAACUAGAAUAUGUAGUGUAGCGGUGAAAUGCUUAGAGAUUACAUGGAAUACCAAUUGCGAAGGCAGGUUACUACUAAUUGAUUGACGCUGAUGGACGAAAGCGUGGGUAGCGAACAGGAUUAGAUACCCUGGUAGUCCACGCCGUA
rnacentral:rRNA from 2 species